AGAGCGAACGCUGGCGGCAGGCCUAAUACAUGCAAGUCGAACGGAUCCUUCGGGAUUAGUGGCGGACGGGUGAGUAACACGUGGGAACGUACCCUUUGGUUCGGAACAACUCAGGGAAACUUGAGCUAAUACCGAAUGUGCCCUUCGGGGAAAAGAUUUAUCGCCAUUGGAGCGGCCCGCGUCUGAUUAGCUAGUUGGUAGGGUAAAGGCCUACCAAGGCUACGAUCAGUAGCUGGUCUGAGAGGAUGAUCAGCCACACUGGGACUGAGACACGGCCCAGACUCCUACGGGAGGCAGCAGUAGGGAAUCUUGCGCAAUGGGCGAAAGCCUGACGCAGCCAUGCCGCGUGAAUGAUGAAGGUCUUAGGAUUGUAAAAUUCUUUCAGCGGGACGAUAAUGACGGUACCCGCAGAAGACGCCCGGCUAACUUCGUGCCAGCAGCCGC
rnacentral:rRNA from 1 species